rnacentral:rRNA from 1 species
UGGGGAAUAUUGCACAAUGGGCGAAAGCCUGAUGCAGCAACGCCGCGUGAGUGAUGAAAGUCUUCGGAUUGUAAAGCUCUGUCUUUUGGGACGAUAAUGACGGUACCAAAGGAGGAAGCCACGGCUAACUACGUGCCAGCAGCCGCGGUAAUACGUAGGUGGCGAGCGUUGUCCGGAUUUACUGGGCGUAAAGGGUGCGUAGGCGGAUGUUUAAGUGAGAUGUGAAAUACCCGGGCUUAACUUGGGUGCUGCAUUUCAAACUGGAUAUCUAGAGUGCAGGAGAGGAGAAUGGAAUUCCUAGUGUAGCGGUGAAAUGCGUAGAGAUUAGGAAGAACACCAGUGGCGAAGGCGAUUCUCUGGACUGUAACUGACGCUGAGGCACGAAAGCGUGGGUAGCAAACAGGAUUAGAUACCCUGGUAGUCCACGCCGUAAACGAUGAGUACUAGGUGUAGGAGGUAUCGACCCCUUCUGUGCCGCAGUAAACACAUUAAGUACUCCGC